GCAGACAGCGCGGGCUGGGAGCGCCGGCAAGGGCGGCCCUCGCGCACCUGGCUGCCAGCCCGCAGGGGGCUCGCACGCAGACCUGCCCUUGCCACCUCAGCGCUCGGGUGCGGGCUGGGGGCGGUGGAGCCACGAAAGGUGGUGCCGAGAGCGGAGCGCAGGACAGCGCAGGAGCCCCGGCGCAUCGCGGCGCGCACAGACCCAGGAUUUGUGAAGAGGUGACCCAAAUUUCAAGACAAUGUUGGAUGCAAACGGAUUUGCCAGCAACUGCAUCACUGUCAAAACCAGCUCUGCCCGUGUCUUCCGAAGAUACCAAGUGAAAUACAUGUAGAUGGGAUUUACAUCUGAAAAACCAAGUGAGAAACUGAAGACCAGAGAGGGUGAGUGGUUUACUCAGUUUGGCACAACUGACCCCAACCUAGCCCUCCAUGAGGACUGAGCGCAUGAGAGAUCCUGAGCCACAGCCGCCCAGCCCUGCUCCUCUCGAAUUUCUGACCUACAGGAACUGCAAGAAGUAAUGAAAGACUGCUGUUUAAAGCCACUGCAUUUUGGCAUGAUUUGUUAUGCAGUCGUAGAUAACCAGAAAACAUCGGAUUUACAUUUUAAGUUUCUAGCAUCUCCUCCUCUCUGCACCCUUCCUGGAUAACCAGUUUUAUUCUUCUAGGAUUACUUCAUGCACAUAAAAGAAAACGCAACUACAGUGGACCCUGAACAACGUAGGUAUGAACUGGUUCAACACGGGUUUGAGUCCACGUAUCCAUUUAUAUGUGAAUUUUUUUCAACCAAACAAGGAUGGAAAUACGAUGUUCGUGGAUGUGAAACCUGCACACACAGAGGGCUGACUGUUGGUAUCGUGGGUUCCACAGGGCUGGCUGCAGGACUAGAAUAUGCACAGAUUUGAUAUAUUGAGGGGUCCUGGAACCAAGUCUGCGAGUAUAGCAAGGAAAGAGUGUGUAUAUCUUAUUCCUCCUACACAAAAGUUAGUGCGUCAUACACACCAUUUUGCAGUUUGGCUCUCCCCCUAACAAUAUACCUUGGUGCUCCUUCCCUGUCAGCCCCCACAGAGCUUCCUCCAUCUUGGUGGCAGCUGUGUGAUAUUUAGUCUACUACCAUUUAUUUAACCAAGCUCCAUUGAUGGACAUUUGGCUGGUCACACACCCUGGCUGUUACAUCCUGUGGCCUCUCUCUGUCCCAUCUUCUAGAUCGCCUCCACCCUGCUUCCCUUGUCCUCACACCACACUCCAGCCCAGGAACCAGCCAAGUAAAGGGAGUACCCUUUCUCUUUUAGAAGGUGGGGCAAGAGGAUGGUGGUGAACAUUUUCCUUCUUUCACACACACAUGCCUUGGCAUUGCGUUUGCCUGCAUGCAGCUAUGGCCUGCAGCCACUGAAGAAUGCUUGCAUAAGGAGCUCUUCUCUGCACAUACCCCGACACAGUGAUGGUAUCUUGCAGCUGCUGCUUCUGUCCAAGGCACUGCAGCCUACUCGUCAAAAGCCCGAAGCCCAGCUCUGCCAGCAGUGCACUGUGUGCUCUUAGGAAACAGAGAAGCAAAGAAGUUAGCAAGCUUGUUUUGGCAGAAGAAAAAACACAAAAUACCCAACCACAGAUCCUCAAAAAUAUUGCUAAGCACUAAUUUUGCUAACAUGUUAGACAGCCUUCGGAUCUAGGCAAUCUUGUUCCUCAGCUGGAAAGAGUUCCUGCCAGCCAUGUGAUUCCAAAUCCACCCUGGACAUAUGGGGAUAAUGAGAAAAUCAGCUCCGGCCUUCCCUGGCCUUCCAGCCAAGUGAAUGGGGGCAUCCCCUGGUGCUUCAGCCCGGGGCCCACCCAGAGGAUGCUAGCUGGCCUGCAGAGGCCUCAACCAUGCCCUCCUGGACUCAGGUAAGACUGAGGUUUCCAUGCCCUCAAAACAAUUGUUCAGACAAAAACUCACUGCCCAGGUCAAAGUCACAGCACCAGAAAGCCAACCUGAGGAUGAAGACAAAGCUCUUUGUUGGCACAGUCCCCUGAUCAUUCGAGGUCAGCAUCUCCAUCAAAAUGGACCCAAUGCUGAGGCAAGAAGGAGAACAUCACUGUUAAGAAGGUAAUGAGUCACAAAUGCUAUUUCGAUGGUUUUCUUUGAAAGAAAUACACAGAACCAAACCAAUUUUAAUUAAAGAUCUUGUCUUUGUAAUCAGGCAGCCACAAAUGAAGGCAAAACUGCUUUCAUGUGGCAUAAUAUACACAGAGCUGAACUAGUUUUCCCAUAAAAGGGCAGGUUCUUUUCUUCAAAUAAGAAAAGAGUUUGUUCCUAACAAUAUGGGGGAUGCAACAGAAAGCUGUCUUUUGCAAAGUAUAAAAUUGCAGAUCCUCCCGUGGAAGCCAUUUCUUGAUGCUAAACCAAUGCGAACGUUUGCCAAACGCACAUGCGAGCCGGGAUUAUCCUACCCUUUGAGAUUAGACAUGUGAUCCUGAUUUUUAAGUGAAAAACGCAGCCAGAGGCCAAAUAAACAUACCUACAAGUACAUCGAAAGCUCAAAUGGUUGAGAAAUGAUUGUAACACACCCCGGUGUGUAUUUCUGAGGAAGAAUCAACAUGCACAUGGAAAUUGAUGUUUUGAUUUUUAAUUUUAAAACGACGACAGAACUGAAAUACCUCCCCUAACUAGGUCCACUGAAACCAGUGAGGAGAUAAUCAUUUUCAGUUAAAUAUGCAUGUAAUUUAAUAAUCCACAGAUGGAAAAUGCAUUUGAGGUGGACUGAACACAGCCAGGAGUUUUUGCUUAUCGACAGCACUGAAUCCUGCCUUGACUAGAGAGACUCGUCAUGUGAUCAACUGUGGCCAGAGGGCAUCCUGCAGACAGCUCCUGUCACACCACACUGACCAGACUCUUAUGAGUAUUUAAGCAUCUUCAGGGAAGCGAUUGACUGUCUUAUAAUGGUCUUACAAGUACGGAACUUUAUUACCUGCUAAUAAUCAGAGCACAUGAUGGCACAAUAGAAUAUACGAGUGAAGUUCUAAAUGCAAGGUUGUUCUUAUUCUGUGAGUGGCAAAACUCAUGCAGUGAGCAGAUAAAGCUGGCAGGAGGCAUUGGCGCCCUAAUGCUGGGCACUAACCACCUGCCCGGACUGCGAAUAUCUGUUGGGUCCUUUCUAUAUCUGGUCUAUUCUCGUGUUUGAUUAUAUCCUGGUGGCAAGAAUAGCAAAAUCAACUCUCCUUCCUAUCCCAUGUGGAGAGGCAUGAUUUGAGUCAGAGAGCAUUAUCCUCUCUGCGUUAUCCAACCCCAUGUCCCAUGAUGCACUUUGUAGACAAGCAAGUGUCCCUGGUGGAGAAUCCACAGCCACACAUCCUCAUUGGUUGCAAGGAUCAGUGUCCAAUAUCUACUGCCAUGAUCAUUCUCAGUUUUACAUCCACAGAGCUUCAUAGAAUUCUAACACCACAGGUCCAAGUAGAGGUUUUGGCCUCAGAGUGGGCUAGAUUCCACCUCUGACAGCAGCUGUGGGACUGUUUUUCCAUCUGUAAAAUGGAGACAAGAGUAUCACCUACCUCAUGGUGUUGGUGGGAUCGUUAAACAGAAUUCCGAUCAUGAAACCCUUAGCCUGCUCCCUGCAUAGGCUGCAUGCGCUCAGUGAGCUAUGGCUCUGUUUCAUGCUGACUUUACCAUCAUGUAAGCAGUUUUAAAAAUGCUAGAAGCUUUAGUCAUAGAAUUACCAUAUGAUACAGCCUACUGCAGAGUCCAGAGGCUGAGGCAGGAGAGUUACUUGAACCUGGGAGGCGGAGGUUGCAGUGAGCCAAGAUCGCGCCACUGCACUCCAGCCUGGGCAACAGAGUGAGAUUCUGUCUCAACACAAAAAAGAAGACAUGUGUCCCCAUCACAGUAUCAUACAGAGUGCUUCCACUGCCCUAAAAUACCCUGUGCUCUUCCUAUUCAUCCCUCUCUUCAACCCCAGCAACCACUGAUCCUUUUACCAUCUCCAUGGUUUUGCCUUUCCCAGAAUGUCAUAUUGUUGGAAUCAUACGCUAUGUAGCCUUUGCAAAUGGGCUUCUUUCACCGAGCAAUGUGCAUUGAAGGUGCCUCUAUGACUUUUCAAGGGUUGAUAGCUCAUUCCUUUUUAUUGCUAAAUAAUAUUCCAUUGUCUGAAUGUACCACAUUUUGUUUAUCCAUUCACCUACUAAAGGACAUCUUGGUUGCUUCCAAGUUUGGGCAAUUAUAAAUAAAACUGCUAU
rnacentral:lncRNA from 1 species